UUAACAGCAGUAAACAGUUUAAAUUGUCUCAGCAUCCACCUGUUUUGAUUAGGGAUCCAGAAACAUGGGAAACCAGGGGUCCCUAUGAGCUAGUAACCUGGGGAAGAGGCUAUGCAUGUGUAUCAACCCCCUCAGGUCCUCGAUGGAUUCCCCAAAAGUGGGUUAAACCUUUUGUUCCCAAAACUCCAGCCACAGCAGAAGGAGAUGAGAAGCAAGUAACCACUGCUUCGAAAAGAAGACGCCGCAGAGGGAAAGGAAACAAAAACCUCAUAAAGGAAUACCCUCUGGCAGAAAAAGACUUAUAACAUGUUUUAAACUGUUUGUUUUUCCUUUUAGAAGAAAGCUACCCUCCAGUUAACCCUGUGUCCUGUUAGCUUUGAACAGUUUGGCAGCUGCGUGGAUCAUCCCUCAGAAAACAUAUGCCUGUCCACUGCAGCAGCAACAGACCCUGUGUCCACCUGCCUGGGAUGCCAGGGAUUUGAAGGACUUUGCUGCAUGAACCUGACUGCAAGAGCUCCUAAAUGUCCACGCUGCUCUGCAAGAAACAAAGGACUGGCUUAAUGGACUAUUCAAGGGCUGGGGGUUUUCUGGGUGGUGGACUUCCACAGUCAAAACCAUUAUUUAAUAUUUGAGGCCAUUACUGGUAUCACUUCUUCUACCUCAGCAAACAAUCAUAUAGAGAUAGCAAAUAUAAAACAAUCUAAUUCUCCUGCUUAUCACAAAUGGUAAGCAAAAUCAUAAAUUUGGACUAAAAUUAGUUUAAUAUCAUCCCCCUACUUAAAAAACAAAAAAACGGGGAGAUGUUGUAAUUCAGUAUUUGAGGUAUAAGAAAUUAUAUCAAGGUAUCCCGUAACCUCCUUCCUGCAAACCCCAGUUCCUGUCUUCCUUUCCGGUCCUGUGACCUUCCCCUGUGUCCUUGUACCCACCGGGGGUCGGGUAUUCCGGCCCCUGUCCCGUCUGUGUCUUCAUCCCAUCGGCAGCUAGCCAAGGCCACUCCCAUUCCCCUCUCCUGAAUACCUGUGCCCCAGAGAAACUCGGCCUCUUUCCGGCCAUACCAUCGCCCAGGAAUAAACUAAGACUGAAAGAGC